GCCGGGGCCGCCGCCUUGGGGGCCCAAGAGACCCAGCCCCUGAGAAGUCCAGAGCCUCCUCCAGCGGUGGCAGUGGUGGCGGCGGUGGGGGCCGCGUGCCCAAGUCAGCCUCUGUCUCUGCCCUGUCCCUCAUCAUCACGGCAGCUCUGGCAAGAAGUACGGCUUCAGCCUGCGGGCGAUCCGCGUCUACAUGGGUGAUAGCGACGUCUACACUGUGCACCACGUCGUCUGGAGUGUGGAGGACGGAAGCCCCGCCCAGGAGGCGGGCCUGCGGGCUGGGGACCUCAUCACCCACAUCAACGGGGAGUCAGUGCUGGGGCUGGUGCACAUGGACGUCGUGGAGCUGCUGCUGAAGAGCGGCAACAAGAUAUCCCUGCGGACCACGGCCCUGGAGAACACCUCCAUCAAGGUGGGCCCCGCCCGGAAGAAUGUGGCCAAGGGCCGCAUGG
rnacentral:sRNA from 1 species